GAUGAACGCUGGCGGCGUGCCUAAUACAUGCAAGUCGAGCGAACGGACGAGAAGCUUGCUUCUCUGAUGUUAGCGGCGGACGGGUGAGUAACACGUGGAUAACCUACCUAUAAGACUGGGAUAACUUCGGGAAACCGGAGCUAGUACCGGAUAAUAUUUUGAACCGCAUGGUUCAAAAGUGAAAGACGGUCUUGCUGUCACUUAUAGAUGGAUCCGCGCUGCAUUAGCUAGUUGGUAAGGUAACGGCUUACCAAGGCAACGAUGCAUAGCCGACCUGAGAGGGUGAUCGGCCACACUGGAACUGAGACACGGUCCAGACUCCUACGGGAGGCGGCAGUAGGGAAUCUUCCGCAAUGGGCGAAAGCCUGACGGAGCAACGCCGCGUGAGUGAUGAAGGUCUUCGGAUCGUAAAACUCUGUUAUUAGGGAAGAACAUAUGUGUAAGUAACUGUGCACAUCUUGACGGUACCUAAUCAGAAAGCCACGGCUAACUACGUGCCAGCAGCCGCGGUAAUACGUGGGUGGCAAGCGUUAUCCGGAAUUAUUGGGCGUAAAGCGCGCGUAGGCGGUUUUUUAAGUCUGAUGUGAAAGCCCACGGCUCAACCGUGGAGGGUCAUUGGAAACUGGAAAACUUGAGUGCAGAAGAGGAAAGUGGAAUUCCAUGUGUAGCGGUGAAAUGCGCAGAGAUAUGGAGGAACACCAGUGGCGAAGGCGACUUUCUGGUCUGUAACUGACGCUGAUGUGCGAAAGCGUGGGGAUCAAACAGGAUUAGAUACCCUGGUAGUCCACGCCGUAAACGAUGAGUGCUAAGUGUUAGGGGGUUUCCGCCCCUUAGUGCUGCAGCUAACGCAUUAAGCACUCCGCCUGGGGAGUACGACCGCAAGGUUGAAACUCAAAGGAAUUGACGGGGACCCGCACAAGCGGUGGAGCAUGUGGUUUAAUUCGAAGCAACGCGAAGAACCUUACCAAAUCUUGACAUCCUCUGACCCCUCUAGAGAUAGAGUUUUCCCCUUCGGGGGACAGAGUGACAGGUGGUGCAUGGUUGUCGUCAGCUCGUGUCGUGAGAUGUUGGGUUAAGUCCCGCAACGAGCGCAACCCUUAAGCUUAGUUGCCAUCAUUAAGUUGGGCACUCUAAGUUGACUGCCGGUGACAAACCGGAGGAAGGUGGGGAUGACGUCAAAUCAUCAUGCCCCUUAUGAUUUGGGCUACACACGUGCUACAAUGGACAAUACAAAGGGCAGCGAAACUGCGAGGUCAAGCAAAUCCCAUAAAGUUGUUCUCAGUCCGGAUUGUAGUCUGCAACUCGACUAUAUGAAGCUGGAAUCGCUAGUAAUCGUAGAUCAGCAUGCUACGGUGAAUACGUUCCCGGGUCU
rnacentral:rRNA from 1 species